rnacentral:rRNA from 1 species
GACGAACGCUGGCGGCGUGCCUAACACAUGCAAGUCGAACGCAGUGGCGAACGGGUGAGUAAUACGUGAGUAACCUGCCCUCCUUUUUGGGAUAAGCCUUGGAAACGUGGUCUAAUACCGAAUAUAGGGGGAUGGGCUCGCGGCCUAGCAGCUUGUUGGGGGGGUGAUGGCCUACCAAGGCGGUGACGGGUGGCCGGCCUGAGAGGGUGACCGGCGACAUUGGGACUGAGAUACGGCCCAGACGCCGACGGGAGGCGGCAGUGGGGGAUAUGGGACAAGGGGCGAAAGCCUGAUGCAGCGACGCCGCGUGGGGGAUGAAGGCUUUCGGGUUGUAAACCUCUUUCGCUAUCGAAGGGGUAGGUGGAGAAGAAGCGCCGGCUAACUACGUGCCAGCCGCCGCGGUAAUAC